rnacentral:rRNA from 1 species
GAUGAACGCUGGCGGCGUGCCUAAUGCAUGCAAGUCGAACGAGGUCUUCGGACCUAGUGGCGAGCGGGUGAGUAACACGUUGGUACCUACCCCGAAGUGGGGAAUAACUGCCCGAAAGGGUGGCUAAUACCGCAUAAUACCGCAAGGUUAAAGCAGUAAUGCGCUUCGGGAGGGGCCUGCGUCCCAUUAGCUAGUUGGUAGGGUAAUGGCCUACCAAGGCGACGAUGGGUAGCUGGAUCGAGAGGUUGACCAGCCACACUGGGACUGAGAUACGGCCCAGACUCCUACGGGAGGCAGCAGUAAGGAAUCUUCCACAAUGGACGAAAGUCUGAUGGAGCAACGCCGCGUGCAGGAUGACGGCCUUCGGGUUGUAAACUGCUUUUAUAUGGGAAGAUUAUGACGGUACCAUAUGAAUAAGGACCGGCUAACUACGUGCCAGCCGCCGCCGUAAAAC